rnacentral:rRNA from 1 species
CGUGUAGGCGGCCAGGUAGGUCGGUUGUGAAAACUGGAGGCUCAACCUUCAGAGGUCGACCGAAACCAUCUGGCUAGAGUCCGGGAGAGGAGAGUGGAAUUCCUGGUGUAGCGGUGAAAUGCGCAGAUAUCAGGAAGAACACCCGUGGCGAAAGCGGCUCUCUGGAACGGUACUGACGCUGAGACGCGAAGCGUGGGGAGCGAACA